rnacentral:rRNA from 1 species
GGAGAACGGGGGGCCGGGAGGUGGGGGAAUACGUGGGGCCCGGGGGUGGACCGGGAUUAUAGGGGGUAAAGCGGGCGCAGGGGGUGAGAUAGGUUUGGAGGGAAAGGCAGGGGCUCAACCAGGGUAGGCGUUGGAAACUGUUUAACUGGAGUGCAGAAGGGGAGAGGGGAAUUCCAUGUGUAGCGGUGAAAUGCGUAGAUAUAUGGAGGAACACCGGUGGCGAAAGCGGCUCUCUGGUCUGUAACUGACGCUGAGGCUCGAAAGCGUGGGGAGCGAACAGGAUUAGAUACCCCAGUAGUC